UUGUAACACAUAAGGGCCAUGUGGAUCCAGUGGUCCAUUGUGACACUGUGGAUCCAAGGAGACCAUGACAAUGCCCCCAGAACCUCAUGGAACCAAGGAGUCCAUGGUGACCCAGCGGGGCUGCAUGGAGCCAAUGGUCCAUUGUUUCACUACGCAUCCAAGGAGUACAUUUUGACACUACGGAAACUAAUGUAAUGAGGUAGGCCAUUGUGAAACUGAAGAACUUCAUGACACCAAAUAUCCAUUGUGACACAGCAGGGCAUAAUUGGAACAAAGGCACCACUGUUGACAGUAUGGAAAGUCAUGGAGCCGGGGGCCAUUAUGGCUUUGCUGAACCAGCACAGUCCUGUUUCAGGUGUUUUUAAGGAAUGAAGAUGAAUCAGAAGAAAAUUAGGGCCAAACCAAAAGGAUAACCAGCCAGGUGUCUUCCCAACAUGGAUCACAGGGAAUGUAGCUCAUCAGGGUUCUGACUUUAAUGGGGGAUGAAGCUGGAGCAGUCCAUGAAGCUAUUCCUGCAGUCAGGGAACUCACAGGGCUUCCCUUACGAAUGGCUCCAUUGGUGUCUGGUCAAGUGAGAGCUCCUGGAGAUGCGCUUCCCACACUGGGAAUACUUGUAGGCCCAUUCCCUGGUGUGGAUCCGCUCGUGGCGAAUCAGGUUGGAGCUGCAGCUGAAGCUCAUCCCACAUUUCCCACACUCAUAGGGCCUCUCCCUGGUGUGGAUGCACUGGAGGAGAUGGGAGCUGCUCCAAAACCUCUUCCCACAGUGAGGAUACUCACAGGGCAUCUCCCCAGUGUGGAUCCACUAGUGACGGUUGAGGUGGGAGCUGCAGCUGAAGCCCUUCCCACAUUCCCUGUUCCUCUCCCCCGGUAUCCCCCCAGUCCACCUGGAGCUAAAACCUCUACCAAAGGAUGUUACACAAGAUCAACCCCAGACCCUGACAGGGGGAAAAGGGGUCAGGGGUGUGACCAGUGAAGGCUGAAAACUAGGCAAGAAAACAGUACUUCACAGUAUAAGGCCUAUAAAGCAGGUAUAUGUUUAUUCAGUGCCAGGAGUGAGGGGCAUAGCUCCACCACAAGCUCACUCAGCCGCUCUUUGCACAGUGUAGCGUUAGCAUUAAUCAAGUUAUAAUAAACAGCCCAGCUCAGCUCCAUGAACUAGCCUCUGGGCUGACUGACAGAAGCUCACAGCCAAUGGGAGCUCUCCUAAAAUACCAGCAUUUGACUGGUUAAGAGUCUGUAGGGCAUAGAGUUUAGACCAAUGUCUGUGAAGCUCUGGGAGUUUUGAAUUGUCUAUAAAAGGGUGUCUGAGACAAUAAAUGAGGCUGUUUGUCUGAGAAAACAUGUGAGUCUGUCU